UACGAAGGGUGCAAGCGUUGUUCGGAUUUAUUGGGCGUAAAGCGCAUGCAGGCGGAUUUGUAAGUCAGAUGUGAAAUCUCGGGGCUCAACCUCGAAACUGCGUCUGAAACUACUGAUCUAGAAUCUUGGAGAGGGAAGGGGAAUUUCUCAUGUAGGGGUAAAAUCCGUAGAGAUGAGAAGGAACACCAGAGGCGAAGGCG
rnacentral:rRNA from 1 species